rnacentral:rRNA from 1 species
UCGAGCGAACAGACGAGGAGCUUGCUCCUCUGACGUUAGCGGCGGACGGGUGAGUAACACGUGGAUAACCUACCUAUAAGACUGGGAUAACUUCGGGAAACCGGAGCUAAUACCGGAUAAUAUAUUGAACCGCAUGGUUCAAUAGUGAAAGACGGUUUUGCUGUCACUUAUAGAUGGAUCCGCGCCGCAUUAGCUAGUUGGUAAGGUAACGGCUUACCAAGGCAACGAUGCGUAGCCGACCUGAGAGGGUGAUCGGCCACACUGGAACUGAGACACGGUCCAGACUCCUACGGGAGGCAGCAGUAGGGAAUCUUCCGCAAUGGGCGAAAGCCUGACGGAGCAACGCCGCGUGAGUGAUGAAGGUCUUCGGAUCGUAAAACUCUGUUAUUAGGGAAGAAUAAAUGUGUAAGUAACUAUGCACGUCUUGACGGUACCUAAUCAGAAAGCCACGGCUAACUACGUGCCAGCAGCCGCGGUAAUACGUAGGCGGCAAGCGUUAUCCGGAAUUAUUGGGCGUAAAGCGCGCGUAGGCGGUUUUUUAAGUCUGAUGUGAAAGCCCACGGCUCAACCGUGGAGGGUCAUUGGAAACUGGAAAACUUGAGUGCAGAAGAGGAAAGUGGAAUUCCAUGUGUAGCGGUGAAAUGCGCAGAGAUAUGGAGGAACACCAGUGGCGAAGGCGACUUU